UUUUAAUGAUCCAAUUUGUCCACAUUGUAGAACUUAUCAAUUAAAAUGAUUUCUUAAGAUUUCAAGUCAAUCGGAUACUCUUUGGUAUCUAAUCGGAGAAUAUAUAUGUCGAAAAAAAUUGGGAAAAAAUGAGCCGGCAACACUUGAUUACAACUCGAAAAGGCUUUUUUUCUCCCGCAUUCUCGUGUCCGUCGUAACAACGCCGCCCAUCCAAGUCGACCUUUACCGUCCCCGUCCGAUCCGAGUUCCGAUCACUGAGUCAGCCGGCCGAGGUGUGUUGGUGUCUCUCUCUCUCUUUACAACAACGGGUGUUUACCAUCUGUGCCUAAAAGUCUCAGAAACAGAACCACAUUUACAGCUAAGAAUGUGAGGGAACAAUCUAAUAAGAAAUCGAUGCAAGGUAUAUGCCUCCCACGUGUUUGACAUUUGGCUUUUCGCCAUGAGCACUUGCCUCGUGUUCUUGCAUAAGAUGGUGAGCAAGAGAAUAGCUAGAAGCAUGUAAGGUGGUGAAACUGAAGGUGGAUGUGGACUGUGAUGGAUGCAUGGAGAGAAUUUUGAAGGCUAUCACGAAUACAAGUAACAACUUUAAUGGCGUAAAGAGGUAUGGGAGAAUCAUAUACAAAUGAAAGAGGAAACGAAAGAGACCAAAUAAAUGAGGAAACAACAACGGAAUAAAGACACCGGGCAUAAGAAAGAGAAAUCAAACGAUGAUAAAAACACCAUUUCUACGACCAUGAGCACGAUGGAAGGCACUUCAUUGAUGACAUGGUUGUUUAUGCUCUUAAUAGCGAAGGAUGUUAUGUAUGGGCAUGCAAAAACUAUGACGGGAUGUACAGAGUGAUAUCUAGCCACAAGGUUUGUGUGUAAGACUGGAGAGGACCUUUGGCGUCAACAAUUGUUCAGAUUAUUAUAAUCUACGUUGCUUAGUUUGACGACCAGGACUGGAUGUGCUACUAAUUGAAGUGUUAAUCUUUUUAACUUUAGUGCUAUAUUUGAUCUCAAAUUUCUAGCUGCAUUCUUGCAGGGUUUGGAUCUCUUAAUCUGAUGAUAUUUCCUGGUAUGCUUCUUUUCCAACAGACACCUAUAUCCAGUUCUAAACAAAAUGAAUGAUGGUCCAAAUAAGAUAACUUCCUGUUAUGGAGAUAUUCAACGAAUAGUUACUUGAACAUCUAUUUAGUGAAGUUUUAUAGUCUUGAAUGUGUUGGUGGGAGAGAAGUUUCACGUACUUACUCAAACACAUAAAUAUUUCACACUUCCACAUGAAAGAAAUUACAAAGCUUUUGGGAAAAGAAAAAAAAAUACCCUUCACUUUUUUUCCUAUUCUCACAAACAAACCCACACAAUACAAAGACACGAAUACAUGCAUUAUAUGAACUCCAAUUUGCAUCUACUUCGACAGCCACAUAAACACCUCCUUAGUAGGUUUAUCAUCAAAUGCAAUUCCUUUGGGGAACCUUGGGCCACUCUCUAACCACCAAUAAUGCCACCUUUUCUUUUUCUUUUUUUUCAGAAUAAUAAUGCCCCUCAAUAAUUCAAUUUUUGGCUUUAGCCUGUAAAAUCAAGUUUACCUCUUGACAAAAUGCAUGCCCUAUUAGUUUUUUUCCCUUUGGAUCGGCAAAAGUCAGUAAUGUUUGAAUAGUUAGAUAGCACCUUAGAUGAGUUGAACUCCUAACCUAAGUGCACUCCUAAUGCCAUUGGGCCAAAAGCCUCUUGGCAUGCAUGCUAUAGUAGUUAGACAUCUGUUUUGUAGAAGUUAUGUUUCUGAUGGUCGUAAGCUUAACAGUCAUGAAUUGAAACAAGAUUUUGAGAUUUUAUGUAAAUAUGCCUUGGAUUCGGUGUGUGGAAAUGGAAAAUGAAAUGAGAUUGAGCCCUUCAUGUGUAGUUGGAUACUCACCCAUCAAGCAUAUCACUAGUUUGGUUUAAGAAAUGCUCUACAGAAUCCCGUAAACAUAGGUUUACCCCAACAAGGGACACUAAUGCCUCCAACACUUAGACAUGUACCGCUCCUGACACCUGUACUAGGGUCUAUAUAAAAUAGUUUGGCUCAUGACGAAUGUUGAUGUGUUGGUCACAUGUUGCAACUGGAUUUGCUGAGUUUUCUGUACGAAUGUUGAUGUGUUGGUCACAUGUUGCAAAUGGAUUUGAUGAGUUUUCUCCUGAAACAUUAAUAUGUGUAGUAUAUAUGCCUUUUUCAUUUGUGGAGUUUAUUCCUAGAUAUGUUGAAUCGUCUGCGAACAUUUUCUUUGUUUUCAUUUAACUUGCCAGUUUUAUGUCGUCGGGGUCCCAAUGUUGAAGGAAUUGUGGUUUCAGGCCAUGCCAUUCUGAGAUGUAGUCUCAAAAGGUUGAAAUCAUAAACUCUAGGGGACGUAACUUGAACUUGAUUUGUAAUACAUCUCGCCAAUAUAUUAUCUAAUUCAAGUUCAAGUUCCAUCCCAUGGAGGAAGUUGCUAUCCCUUGGAGGACCAUGGAGCGUAAGGGGAACCAAUUCCGUGAGCAUUUGGUUAUGAAAGCAUCAGCAGCAAAGCCCAUUUUAGUAAUAGCUUUGCCAAGUACUUAGACCAAGGAUCCUAUUACAAAUGUGAGGUUCGCUGACUUUAAAGUGUGGGGCUCGAAGGCGGUGAUGAAAGUUACUCCUCGUCAGCUGGAAACAGAGCUUCUGUAGGAAGGCAUAAAACGGCUUGGUGAUCUGCCGUCAUAUAACCUUCUCAAGAGAUACUGAGAGAGAUUUAGAGCAAUAUGGUCAAGAUUUGUCGUGUACCAGUUUUCCUCAAAUUAAAGUAGGAUGUCAAGUUUGUGUUACCAGGAUGCAGUUUUAAAAGAAAAAGAUGUCCUCCCGUGAAGGCAGGUUGUUUAAGACUUCUCAUUAGCAAUGGUAGGAGUUAUAUGUCCACUCAGCGGCAGUUUCUUAGUUGGGUUUUAGAAGGUACUGGAUUGUUCAGGCCUGGGAGACGUGCUAUGUUUGAUGUCUUUGAGAGAAGUUAGUUUCUAGGAGUAACUAAUGUUUUUGUACUUGUGGUUUGUAGUGAUGAUAGGGAUCAGCUUUCGGUAGUCUACAUUGGGCAACUUUGAUAUCUUCAUUUGAGUUUGAUAAAGGAGAGAUUAGCCAGAAUCGAGUCGAAUGAUCAGGCUAACUUAGAUGUCUAGUACUUGCAUGCGUGAGAUUUGUUGUCGAUUUUUUUUUACACCCUCGAUGAGGAGACAAGUUUGCAGUGGAAUGUGCUUAUUUGACAGAAAAUUUCAGUUGGAUGAGGAGAAAAAACAUGGAAUUUAUUCAGGCUUAAAA